GACGAACGCUGGCGGCGUGCUUAACACAUGCAAGUCGAACGGAAAGGCCUCUUUCGGGGGGUACUCGAGUGGCGAACGGGUGAGUAACACGUGAGUAACCUGCUCUUGACUUUGGGAUAACUUCAGGAAACUGGGGCUAAUACCGGAUAGGAGCUCCUGCUGCAUGGUGGGGGUUGGAAAGUUUCGGCGGUUGGGGAUGGACUCGCGGCUUAUCAGCUUGUUGGUGGGGUAGUGGCUUACCAAGGCUUUGACGGGUAGCCGGCCUGAGAGGGUGACCGGCCACAUUGGGACUGAGAUACGGCCCAGACUCCUACGGGAGGCAGCAGUGGGGAAUAUUGCACAAUGGGUGGAAGCCUGAUGCAGCAACGCCGUGUGCGGGAUGACGGCCUUCGGGUUGUAAACCGCUUUCGCUCAUGACGAAGCUUUGUGUGACGGUAGUGGGUAAAGAAGCACCGGCUAACUACGUG
rnacentral:rRNA from 1 species